rnacentral:rRNA from 1 species
UACGAGGGGGGCGAGCGUUGUUCGGAAUUAUUGGGCGUAAAGGGUGCGUAGGCGGCCUGACAAGUCUGAUGUGAAAUCCCUGGGCUCAACCCAGGGCCUGCAUCGGAAACUGUCGGGCUUGAGUAUGGGAGAGGUGAGUGGAAUUCCUGGUGUAGCGGUGAAAUGCGCAGAUAUCAGGAGGAACACCGGUGGCGAAGGCGGGUCUCUGGGCCGAUACUGACGCUGAGGAGCGAAAGCGUGGGGAGCAAACAGG